rnacentral:misc_RNA from 1 species
UGUCAUCAAGAAAAUGUUCAAUGGUAUGCAAAACCAAAUUACAAUGGAUUUUUUUAAUAAACAAUUUCAUUUUUAUACUGCUUUUGUCUUUCUUUAGUAGUCUUUACCCAGCAAUGACAAAUAGUUCUGUUGGUUUAUCCUUUCCUUUAAAGCAGCCUAUUGUCAAAAGCAUCUGGUGAGAUCAGCCUAUUUGAAUGUACUUUGAGUUGUAGUAUUGAUUAAGUGAGUUGGGUAUAUUCAUUUGGUUUUCCAAAAAGGUCUGUCUUACUCUAUUGCACAAUAACAUCGUUUGUAUUUUUGGGUUUGCAAAAAGAAAAUAGAUCUCUUGUUGUACUUGUCUCUGGUUGUUUACUUCUCCACAUCAUGUUAGCUAAUUGUUGACAAAAAUUAUUGGCUGGAAAAUAUCACAAUUGUUCUUGUCCUUUUCAUUUUUGUCCCUAUAAUUGUGAAAUACUGAUCAUGUUUUUAUUUAUUUAUUUAUUUA